rnacentral:rRNA from 1 species
GACAUGGCGAGCUGUCAGCAUACGCGUGGGUGAAGAAGGCUUCGGGUUGUAAAGCCCUUUUGUUGGGAAAGAAAAGCAUUCGGUUAAUACCCGGGUGUUCUGACGGUACCCAAAGAAUAAGCACCGGCUAAUUCGUGCCAGCAGCCGCGGUAAUACGAAGGGUGCAAGCGUUAUUCGGAAUUACUGGGCGUAACAGCGUGCGCUCAGGUGGUGGUUUAAGUCCGUUGUGAAAGCCCUGGGCUCAACCUGGGAAUUGCAGUGGAUACUGGGUCACUAGAGUGUGGUAGAGGAUAGUGGAAUUUCCGGUGUAGCAGUGAAAUGCGUAGAGAUCGGAAGGAACACCUGUGGCGAAGGCGACUAUCUGGGCCAACACUGRCACUGACGGCACGAAAGCGUGGGGAGCAAACAGGAUUAGAU